UACGAAGGGUGCUAGCGUUGUUCGGAAUUACUGGGCGUAAAGGGCGCGUAGGCGGCUUCGAUAGUCGGGUGUGAAAUGCCUGGGCUCAACCCAGGAACUGCACUCGAAACUCCGAGGCUAGAGUGUGGGAGAGGAUAGUGGAAUUCCCAGUGUAGAGGUGAAAUUCGUAGAUAUUGGGAAGAACACCGGUGGCGAAGGCGGCUAUCUGGACCACAACUGACGCUGAGGCGCGAAAGCGUGGGGAGCAAACAGG
rnacentral:rRNA from 1 species